GACGAACCGAGCGAACGUUAUUCGGAAUCACUGGGCUUAAAGGGCGCGUAGGCGGGCGAUCAAGUCAGGGGUGAAAGCCCCCAGCUCAACUGGGGAAGUGCCUCUGAUACUGGUCAUCUCGAGGGAGGUAGGGGCGUGCGGAACUUCCGGUGGAGCGGUGAAAUGCGUAGAUAUCGGAAGGAACGUCGGUGGCGAAAGCGGCGCGCUGGACCUCUUCUGACGCUGAGGCGCGAAAGCCAGGGGAGCAAAGCGGG
rnacentral:rRNA from 1 species